CCAUCUGUUUCAAACCCCCCUGCCAUGGGCAUAGACAAAAACGGAUUUUUGUGCCUGUGCACACUGCAAAAGCAGAGUACGCUCAGAUGUAUUGACCUGGAAUGCCUGUAGCAGACGUAGUUAUCAAAUGGGUAACUACAUUGUAUAUAUGUGUUAUGUCAUCCUUUGUUUACAGUAAGCUUCACACUUAUUGCUGCAGGCUUUCAUUUUUACAGGGACGACAAGAAUUGUACAAAGGUUAUCUGGAUUUUAGCAACUACCUUGCUUUCACCAGGAACAAAGAUGAUUCAGCCUCCCAUGACAGAAAACUUCAGCCUGGGAAGUGGAUCUGCCAGCACAUAGCCUUUACAGAACUACACAUGUCCAAAGUUAUGGAUGAGGCAGAAUAACCGAAGAAACAGUAUUCCUGUGAGGAAUGUAAUUCACUAUAUAAAUCAGUGUGGAAAUGUCAAAAGAGGUAGAGUAGAUUUGCUAUUGAAGGAGAAAGGAAGCAGUUGUCCCAAACUUCAAAGAUGGGUGGCCUUUGCACCUCUUCUGAAAUAGUAAGCAUCAAAGAGAAACCUCAAGAUGAAUGAAAAUGUAGCAGAUCCACAGGCAAUGUAGAUAGUGCUGAGCAAGGAAAGAGAAGUAGAAAGUACUCAUGAGCAUGGGAAAGUGGGAAGACUUGCAGAAAAUGUAAGAAGUAGGUAUGCUGAAAACGGGAUUAAGUUCCAUUUUACUGGCAGACACAGUGGUUUUGUGUGUAGUUUUCAUUAAGUAAUUACAUGCAUACUAUACUGUUUGAUUUGCAAACGCAAACUGUAUCACAUGUACAAAAUAAAUGACUGUUCUAUGGAAAAUAUGGCCCCAAAUAGAAUUCGGGAAUGACAGUUCUUACAGUUUGGUGGAAUUAAGAGUUACAAUUCAACUAUGUAAUUAACUUCUUUGAAAUGAAUUUGUCACUAUGUGAAAAACAAGAAUAGGUAAUAUUGAAGUGGUUAAUACUAAAAUAAAUGAAAUGGGCAAGAACUGAUGUGCUCUAAUAGAGUAAAAACCCAUCAGAGGUGACUGAAACAUGUUAGAAAUUAAAACAUUAAUAAUAACCAGCAGUACCCAGAGAGAAUGAAAACGUCAACAGAGUAAUGACAUUAAAUGUCCAAAAUCUUCUGUAAGAUGCUGAGUGAUACUUUGAGAAGAUACAGAGUGGCAGGAGAGGGCUUCAGGUAGAAAUGGAGAUGAAAAAUACAGGACAUUCUGAGAAUAGCUGAAGGCAGUGAACAUAUUAGGGGGAAAUAUCUUAUUCUGGCCCUGUUUUCUUCAUACCUUCUGCUUACACCCAGUGUUGGUGACAGAGUACUGUAUUAAAUUUCCGGUUGAUCUGCUGCUGUGACUUGAGCUUUAGAGUCUGAGUGUGCAUCACCCUGAAUGGUGUGUGAGUGA